GUAGGUGGCAAGCGUUGUCCGGAAUUAUUGGGGCGUAAAGCGCGCGCAGGCGGUCCUUUAAGGUCUGAUGUGAAAGCCCACGGGCUCAACCGUGGAGGGUCAUUGGAAACUGGGGGACUUGAGUACAGAAGAGGAAAGCGGAAUUCCAAGUGUAGCGGUGAAAUGCGUAGAGAUUUGGAGGAACACCAGUGGCGAAGGCGGCUUUCUGGUCUGUAACUGACGCUGAGGCGCGAAAGCGUGGGGAGCAAACAGGAUUAGAUACCCUGGUAGUCCACGCCGUAAACGAUGAGUGCUAAGUGUUAGGGGGUUUCCGCCCCUUAGUGCUGCAGCUAACGCAUUAAGCACUCCGCCUGGGGAGUACGGCCGCAAGGCUG
rnacentral:rRNA from 1 species